GAUGAACGCUGGCGGCGUGCUUAACACAUGCAAGUCGAACGGUGAAGCUCCAGCUUGCUGGAGUGGAUCAGUGGCGAACGGGUGAGUAACACGUGAGCAACCUGCCCCUGACUCUGGGAUAACAGCCGGAAACGGCUGCUAAUACCGGAUAUGCACCAUGAACGCAUGUUCUGUGGUGGGAAAGAUUUUUCGGUUGGGGAUGGGCUCGCGGCCUAUCAGCUUGUUGGUGAGGUAAUGGCUCACCAAGGCGUCGACGGGUAGCCGGCCUGAGAGGGUGACCGGCCACACUGGGACUGAGACACGGCCCAGACUCCUACGGGAGGCAGCAGUGGGGAAUAUUGCACAAUGGGCGAAAGCCUGAUGCAGCAACGCCGCGUGAGGGAUGACGGCCUUCGGGUUGUAUACCUCUUUUAGCAGGGAAGAAGCGAGAGUGACGGUACCUGCAGAAAAAGCGCCGGCUAACUACGUG
rnacentral:rRNA from 1 species